rnacentral:rRNA from 1 species
AGAGUUUGAUCCUGGCUCAGGAUGAACGUUGGCGGUGUGCCUAAUACAUGCAAGUCGAACGGAGUUAAUAGCAAUAUUGACUUAGUGGCGAACGGGUGAGUAACGCGUUGGUGAUCUGCCUCGAAGUGUGGAAUAACGUUCCGAAAGGAUCGCUAAUACCGCAUGUGCUCUCGAUUUUUAGAAAGUUGAGAGUAAAGGAUUUAUUCGCUUCGAGAGGAGCCUGCGUCCCAUCAGCUGGUUGGUAGGGUAACGGCCUACCAAGGCUAUGACGGGUAGGGGACCUGAGAGGGUGGCCCCCCACAAUGGAACUGAAACACGGUCCAUACACCUACGGGUGGCAGCAGUAGGGAAUAUUAGAAAUGGACGAAAGUCUGAUCUAGCAACACCGCGUGUGCGAAGAAGGCCUUCGGGUCGUAAAGCACUUUUUGGAAGGAAUAGGAAGGAAUGUACUUCCAGAAUAAGUCUCGGCUAACUACGUGCCAGCAGCCGCGGUAACACGUAGGAGGCAAACGUUAUCCGGAUUUACUGGGCGUAAAGCGCGUGUAGGUGGUACUGUAAGUAGGGCGUGAAAGCUCCCGGCUCAACUGGGAGAGGCCGUUCUAAACUGCAGAACUAGAGGAUGGUAGAGGGAGGUGGAAUUCCAGGUGUAGCGGUGGAAUGCGCAGAUAUCUGGAGGAACACCAGUGGCGAAGGCGGCCUCCUGGACCAUUCCUGACACUCAGACGCGAAAGCUAGGGUAGCAAACGGGAUUAGAGACCCCGGUAGUCCUAGCCCUAAACGAUGUAGACUAGGCGUCGGUGGUUUAAUCACCAUCGGUGUCCAAGCUAACGCGAUAAGUCUACCGCCUGGGGACUACGGCCGCAAGGUUAAAACUCAAAGGAAUUGACGG